rnacentral:tRNA from 1 species
UCUUUGUGGUCAAGUGGUUAAAAUUCUGCACUUCCAAUGCAGGGAGCAUGGGUUCAAUCCCUGGUCAGGGA